rnacentral:snRNA from 1 species
AUCGCUUCUCUGCCUUUUGGCUAAGAUCAAGUGUAGUAUCUGUUCUUAUCAGUUUAAUAUCUGAUACGUCCCCCAUCCGGGGACUACAUAUUAAAUGGAUUUUUAGAUCACGGAGCUGGAGCCGGGGCUUGCUCCGUCCACUCCAUGCAUCGGCCUGGUAUUGCAGUGUCUCCAGGAACGGUGUGCUUUCC